rnacentral:lncRNA from 1 species
GCAGCCUCAGUUUACGGUUUUUAAAACAGUGCUAGCUUAUUCAGCGUUCAUUCUAGCUUCGCCAGUCAUAGCGUUUUUUGUCACCAAGUUCCUGUUCUUUGAAGGACUUCUAGGGAUUUCAUGUACAGCCAGCAACGUUUCGUCGGCCGUUCUGGCCGUGGUUGUGCUCCACAUUGCAUUGGGGAUGUACAUUUAUCGGGCGUACUCGGAUGGGGACAAGCCCAAAACCAACCGACAAAGUGGACUAGUCAUGUGAUUUCAGUUCAAUAUUUCGUAUUUCCACACCUUUAGUGUCUAAGAUAUCAACUGUGAUUGUACAAUACGGCCCUCAUUAAGCCCCCAAAUUUGUUCAGUCAGUGCAUUUGAACAUGUCGAGGAUUCUUAGAGAAUUAGUCGUCUGGAAGUAGGUCGUAAGGGGUCUGCAUCUCAUUCGUUACAUGUGUAAGGCUUGUCAGUGCUGCAGUUUUUUUUUUAUAAUAUACAUUUUGAAACGGU